UGGCGGACGGGUGAGUAAUGUCUGGGAAACUGCCUGAUGGAGGGGGAGUAACUACUGGAAACGGUAGCUAAUACCGCAUAACGUCGCAAGACCAAAGAGGGGGACCUUCGGGCCUCUUGCCAUCGGAUGUGCCCAGAUGGGAUUAGCUAGUAGGUGGGGUAACGGCUCACCUAGGCGACGAUCCCUAGCUGGUCUGAGAGGAUGACCAGCCACACUGGAACUGAGACACGGUCCAAACUCCUACGGGAGGCAGCAUG
rnacentral:rRNA from 1 species